UCAAGCUAUAAAGAGCACAAGGGGAAUGCCUUGGCACUAGGAGCCGAAGAAGGACGUGACUAACUGCGAAAAGCUACGGGGAGUUGUAAGUAAACAUUGAUCCGUAGAUUUCCGAAUGGAGCAAUCCGGCUGUGGUCAUGCACAGUCAUCAUAUACUGAAUACAUAGGUAUAUGAGGGGAACCGCCUGAACUGAAACAUCUAAGUAGGGCGAGGAAGAGAAAUCAACCGAGAUUCCGCUAGUAGUGGCGAGCGAACGCGGAAGAGGCCAAACCAGAGGUAGAAAUACCUUUGGGGUUCGGACAACAUACGAUAUUGAUAAUUUCUAGCUGAAUAGUGUGGGAAAGCUAACCGAAGAAGGUGAGAGUCCUGUAAGCGAAAGGAAGAGUCAGUCAGUUGUAUCCAGAGUACCGCCGGACACGUGAAACCCGGUGGGAAUAUGGGGGGACCAUCCUCCAAGCCUAAAUACUACCUAGUGACCGAUAGAGAAGAAGUACUGUGAAGGAAAGGUGAAAAGCACCCCGGGAGGGGAGUGAAAGAGAACCUGAAACCUUGUGUUUACAAGCACCGAAAGUCCAUCAAAGGACGAUCGGGUACCUUUUGUAGAAUGGUCCGGCGAGUGUAUGUAUCUAGCAAGGUUAAGCACUUAAGGUGUGAAGCCAAAGCGAAAGCAAGUCUGAAUAGGGCGACAAGUUAGAUGUAUACGACCCGAAACCGGGUGACCUACCCAUGGCCAGGCUGAAGUGAAGGUAAAACUUCAUGGAGGGCCGAACCGACUCCCGUUGAAAUGGUAGCGGAUGAGGUGUGGGUAGCGGAGAAAUUCCAAUCGAACCCGGAGAUAGCUGGUUCUCUCCGAAAUAGCUUUAGGGCUAGCCUUGAAAUAGAUUACUGGAGGUAAAGCACUGAAUUGGCUAGGGGCCGAAAGGUUACUGAACCUUAUCAAACUCAGAAUGCCAGAUAAUCGUUUUUCAGGAGUCAGACGGUGGGAGAUAAGUUUCAUCGUCAAAAGGGAAACAGCCCAGACCCACAGCUAAGGUCCCAAAUUAUAGUUAAGUGGAGAAGGAUGUGGGAUUGCAUAGACAACCAGGAUGUUGGCUUAGAAGCAGCCACUCAUUAAAAGAGUGCGUAAUAGCUCACUGGUCGAGUGAUCCCGCGCCGAAAAUUUAACGGGGCUAAACUAUAAACCGAAGCUUGGGAUACCGUAAGGUAUGGUAGGAGAGCGUCAUGUAAGGGGUGAAGUCAUAGCGAAAGCGGUGGUGGACUUUACAUGAGUGAGAAUGCCGGAAUGAGUAGCGAGAAUUAAGUGAGAAUCUUAAUGGCCGAAAGUCUAAGGUUUUUGGAGGAAGGUUCGUCCGCUCCAAGUAAGUCGGGAGCUAAGGCGAGGCCGAAAGGCGUAGUCGAUGCACAUACGGUUGAUAUUCCGUAACCACUGACAACUUAAACAAAAUGACACUUUAGAAGGGCUUGACCCGGGUGCUGGUAAUCCCGGGCGUAAGGGACCGAAAUUUAGUAGGGAAGCAAGCUUGGAUGGAGGCGAGAAAAGUUUUGUGUAUGUAAUGUUGGUGCCCGUACCGCAAACCGACACAGGUGGACAGGAAGAGAAUUCUAAGGCCAGCGGGAGAAGGGUAGUUAAGGAACUCGGCAAAUUGACUCCGUAACUUCGGGAAAAGGAGUGCUCUCGAGAGAGAGCCGCAGUGAAUAGGCCCAGGCGACUGUUUAGCAAAAACACAGGUCUCUGCCAAAUCGAAAGAUGAAGUAUAGGGGCUGACACCUGCCCGGUGCUGGAAGGUUAAGAGGAGGAGUGAGAGCUCCGAAUUGAAGCCCCAGUAAACGGCGGCCGUAACUAUAACGGUCCUAAGGUAGCGAAAUUCCUUGUCGGGUAAGUUCCGACCCGCACGAAUGGUGUAACGAUCUGGGCACUGUCUCAACUACCCGCCCGGCGAAAUUGUAGUACCGGUGAAGAUGCCGGUUACCUGCGACAAGACGGAAAGACCCCAUGGAGCUUUACUGUAGCUUGAUAUUGGGUUUCGGUAAUUUAUGUACAGGAUAUGUGGGAGACUGGGAAGUUAUGGCGCCAGCCAUAAUGGAGUCGAUGUUGGGAUACCACACUUAGAUUGCUGGAAUUCUAACCUGUGGCCAUGAAACUGGUCAGGGGACAUUGUCAGGUGGGCAGUUUGACUGGGGCGGUCGCCUCCGAAAGAGUAACGGAGGCGCUCAAAGGUUGGCUCAGCACGGACGGAAACCGUGCAUUAGAGUGCAAACGCGUAAGCCAGCCUAACUGCGAGGGUGACGGCCCGAGCAGUAACGAAAGUUGGAGUUAGUGAUCCGGCGGUAUGAGAGUGGAAUUGCCGUCGCUCAACGGAUAAAAGCUACCCUGGGGAUAACAGGCUGAUCUCCCCCAAGAGUCCACAUCGACGGGGAGGUUUGGCACCUCGAUGUCGGCUCAUCACAUCCUGGGGCUGUAUUCGGUCCCAAGGGUUCGGCUGUUCGCCGAUUAAAGUGGUACGCGAGCUGGGUUCAGAACGUCGUGAGACAGUUCGGUCCCUAUCUGUCAUGGGCGUAGGAUAUUUGAGGAGAGCUGUUCCUAGUACGAGAGGACCGGGAUGGACGCACCGCUGGCGCACCAGUUGUCAUGCCAAUGGCACAGCUGGGCAACUAUGUGCGGACCGGAUAAACGCUGAAAGCAUCUAAGCGUGAAGCCGACUCCAAGAUAAGAUAUCCCAUAGUGUUAAACUAGUAAGACCCCUUGUAGACUACGAGGUAGAUAGGCUGCGUGUGUAAGCACGGUAACGUGUUCAGCUUGGCAGUACUAAUAGGUCGAGGGCUUGACCAU
rnacentral:rRNA from 1 species